rnacentral:rRNA from 1 species
AACGAACGCUGGCGGCGUGCUUAACACAUGCAAGUCGAACGAGAAAGCUUCUUCGGAAGUGAGUAUAGUGGCGCACGGGUGAGUAAUACAUAGGAACGUACCGAUUAGUGGGGAAUAACCACGGGAAACUGUGGCUAAUACCGCAUAAUAUCGCAAGAUUAAAGGAGGCCUCUGCUUGCAUGCUUUCGCUAAUUGAUCGGCCUAUGUCCCAUUAGCUUGUUGGUAGGGUAAUGGCCUACCAAGGCAACGAUGGGUAGCUGGUCUGAGAGGAUGAUCAGCCACACUGGGACUGAGACACGGCCCAG